rnacentral:rRNA from 1 species
GAUGAACGCUAGCUACAGGCUUAACACAUGCAAGUCGAGGGGCAGCAUGAACUUAGCUUGCUAAGUUUGAUGGCGACCGGCGCACGGGUGAGUAACACGUAUCCAACCUGCCGAUGACUCGGGGAUAGCCUUUCGAAAGAAAGAUUAAUACCCGAUGGCAUAGUUCUUCCGCAUGGUAGAACUAUUAAAGAAUUUCGGUCAUCGAUGGGGAUGCGUUCCAUUAGGUUGUUGGCGGGGUAACGGCCCACCAAGCCUUCGAUGGAUAGGGGUUCUGAGAGGAAGGUCCCCCACAUUGGAACUGAGACACGGUCCAAACUCCUACGGGAGGCAGCAGUGAGGCAUAUUGGUCAAUGGACGAGAGUCUGAACCAGCCAAGUAGCGUGAAGGAUGACUGCCCUAUGGGUUGUAAACUUCUUUUAUACGGGAAUAAAGUGAGGCACGUGUGCCUUUUUGUAUGUACCGUAUGAAUAAGGAUCGGCUAACUCCGUGCCAGCAGCCGCGGUAAUACGGAGGAUCCGAGCGUUAUCCGGAUUUAUUGGGUUUAAAGGGAGCGUAGGCGGACGCUUAAGUCAGUUGUGAAAGUUUGCGGCUCAACCGUAAAAUUGCAGUUGAUACUGGGUGUCUUGAGUGCAGUUGAGGCAGGCGGAAUUCGUGGUGUAGCGGUGAAAUGCUUAGAUAUCACGAAGAACUCCGAUUGCGAAGGCAGCCUGCUAAGCUGCAAC